ensembl:lncRNA
CUUACUUUUAUUUUCAUGCAACAUGUUCAUAAAUAUAUUUCCAGAAAAGGAAAAACUCCAGGGCAUUGCAGCACCUCGAGACUCUUUUCUGACCUUGAUGAAUAUUCAUCUUCUCUUUAAUUUUAGCUGAUUGUUAGAAUUAUUAGCACAAGAAGGACAACCUUGCCAAAUUAGUUCCCUGUGAUCACAGAGAUCAAGGCAGAAGCUGGACGGCACAACCCUCUAGUUUGACUUGAUGAUCUCUAACUUCCCUUCGUAGUCAGAGAGUUUAGAAUGUUUGCCUGUAAACACGGCUGUGUUGUCUUCAUUCCCGUUCCAUCAGUCAGCUGCAGUGACAUGGAGCCCCAGCUGUAGAGGCUUUCAGUAGCAGGCAAGUUCCUGCUGUUACGUGACCAUCACGGGUCGGCGUGGGGCCCUCUUGUGUCUUCCUGCUGAGCCCUGGGAGGAAAGAGCAGCGUUGGUCUGGAAUACGUCGAGCCUGCAGCAGAGAGAAAAGAGCAAUGGCAGACCACGUCACCUCUUAAACCUUUUUCUGAAAGGGCUUCACGUCAGUUCCACUCUCAUUUCAUUGACCAAAACAGCCACGUAGUCAGCCUGAAGUAUAACCCUCCUAUUAGGAAGGGUCAGCAAAUAUUUUUUUUAAAAUGAUACAAUUUACCUUAUAUAGCUUAGCCAGGAGCGUCUUGAAGAGAGGAACCAUCUUUGAAUCCUUAUUGUAGCCGAAGCCAUCAUUUUCCUGGCCCUAACUUUUGUGCGUGCCCACCUGAGCAUGUCCAACCACUAGCAUGGUUGCCUCUUGGUCUGUGGCUUUCUCUGGUGACCAGAGUCUCCUGGCCCACAUGCCAGACAGGCUGGAAGUGCCCAGGAGGUGGCACCUCCUGGGAGGAACAGGCUCGCCCCUGGAUUGAAGUUGCUCUGAGACACAUUCCACACUGCCUCCCAGGGUUCCUGUGGCAGUGAGCCCGCUGCCCAGAGCAGGAACCUGCACCAACAACCCCUGUUCUUGGCCUCCCUUCUUCCCCGUCUUGCUUUACCACGUCCCUGCUGAUGCUUUCUGGAAUCAAUCAAAUACACCUGAACCCUUUACACUCAUAUCCUUAUCUCAGGGUCUGCUUCUGGGGGAACCCCAUCUAAGACGUCUACCAUGUGGAUUAAGGCCUGGCAAGCAAUCGACGCUUACAGAGUGUUGAUCAUCAUGGUCAGAAGAAGCCCAGGGAAGAUGCAGACAUUUUCCUGAGAAAUAUUGCUCCAGGGAAACAUGUAAAGCUGGAUUUUAAAUUUAAUAUUUCUUUUAGCGUGUCUAACAAGAUCACCUGCAUAUAACUUGACAUUUAAAAAUUUUAUCACGUCUUAUAUUUUCACGUUUCUGAUGACUUCUUCUACCUGGUAUCCUUUCUCUACCAACCCCCAUGUCUUAGUCCAAAUUUUAAAGUCCUACAAAAGAUCAUGAUGUGAAAAUUAAUGAUAAUAAUAACAGCCAUGGCCAGUAAUUGUCGGGCGUUUGCUCUGUGCUGAGCACCGUCCUCAGGGCUCGGCACCUGUGAACUCAGUUAAGCAUCACAACAAACCAGGAGCACGGUAUCAUUAUUUGUCUCCAGUUGGUUAAUUAAGAAAGGCACAAAGAGAACGCAAUUAUUAUUAUUUUUAGAUGAUACAUUUGAAUAUUUAGAAACCCAAAGGAGCAAACUUUAAAACUGAUAGAAUUAAUAAAACAGUUUAGUAACGGAGUCAGAAAAAUACUUCAUUAGACAAAAGUAUCGGAUAAGAUUUAUCACUUCCCCUCAUUAUAGGCUCUUUUAUAAUAUAUUCAACUGUAGCCCCCACCUCAUGACUCUGAGCAACCGGGCCAGGGAAGUACAUAGUCUAAGGCCAGAGAGGAAGGCCAGUUUUGAGAAUUUAAGCCAAGAGACAAGAAGACUUGUUAGGUGAAUUUGUGGCUGGAACAAGGAUCGCAACAAGCCGAAACUGGAGCCAUAUCAAACCGGGUCCAACCACAAGCCGGACAUUGUCAUGAUGAGUAGAAACUCUGAGGAAGCAGAGAAAGCCAGCUGGUGACGAGGAGAGAGAACUGAAUCAAGCAGUUGCUUGGCCUGAGAUCUGACUAAAAGGUCUUAUCAAUAUCAAGAACUUGGGGCAAAACAUUCCAGGAGGGAUGACAGCAACUAUCGAGGCCCCGAGGCUGAACACACUUGUAGGGAGGAGGCAGGGAAAGAUGGGGAGUGAGCUCAGGGAGGGUGAUGCCAGGUGACAGCAGAGGGAGCAGCCAAGCUGAGUCGGGGCUGGCGAGCCAUGGUGAGAGGUUUGGAUCCCCUUAUUGGGAAGCCCAGCCCAGCUCUGUUCUGCCUCCCUUUGAAGCUGUUCCCGUUGGCUUCCAUGAAUGGAAUCUCACCUUCUUUAGAACGUUCACAGACGUACACCUCCAGCAAUUGGCAUGUAAACCCUGAAUCACAGAUUUGUUUUACAUGUUUUAUAUUCCCAAGGAUGUUAGGUCUUAGGAGUCGGGAGCUAUGAAUCUUUGUAUCCUCUACAGACAGUAGCGAGCUAGCGUGAACAUGGUGGGUGCACGGUAAAUAUUUGUUGGCUCAAUAAAGGGGACAAUUAUUAAGUAUUCUCCACCAGUGCCCGUGGUUCCUCACUAUGCUCUCACCUAGAAGUUCUAAAGCUACGUUAUGUGACACAAAUGGUUAACUGAGACUCUCCUUGUCCAGGUGGUUGCUCAGUGAAACUAAAGACUGUGCAGCGAUAAGUCUUUUGUUAAGGGCUUUUGUUUGAGUGGCUGGGAAAUGGGGAGUACCAUUUCAUGAAUCCAGGAGAAAUUACACAGCCAUAUAAGGAAUACUUAUUGAGCCCCUACCACAGGGCAAUGUUUAAUGUUUUAUAAGCAUUUCUUGUUUAAUCUUCAAACGACCCUCUAGAGUCCCAACUAGUAUGUGGGAAAAUCAGUCAUGUAGCCAGGUUGGCUGAGCCUGAUUCCACGCUCUCAAUUAGCAGGCUAAAGUUGCCCCAGGCUGUCCAGGUGGAAGAAGGUGAUGUCCCUGUACUUUUUACAAGCUUACUUACGCAUCGAGCGCGUGCUCCCUGAUCCAGGCUACACUACGCACACAGGGGGACUUUGAUUUUUCUCUAACGUUUGUAAGGCCAAAGGAUUCAAACCUGUAGAAAUGAAUUUAGCAGCAGUCUUGCCCUUUCUUUAGUACCUUUCUAAUCUUCACUUUUGGUUCUGAUGCUGACUAAGAAAUUUUUAUAUACUUAGCUAUGCUCAGUACUUGCAAGUAGAGGACACUUUCAGCAAAGAAGACCGUUCCGUUACGCCUGCAUUUAUAAGAAACUACAUGGAAAAUCUGUGUACACUUUUCUAUUGAAGAAGAUAAAUUAUCCAUUAAGAGGUCUUCUGAAAUCUUUCAUAAUAGUUAUUAUUUGGUUUUUGCCUAUCUUUGAGGAUUAAAUCAAAGAUUUGAAUAUUUGAUAAAAACUUUUGUCUUUGAAAACUGUAAGCAUGAAGCUGUAUUUGCGUGAAUACUGGAGGCAUAAAUUCAUACUUUAUUUUAUGAACAAUAUAAACAAUGUCAAGCAAGGAUUUCUUUGACGAGCUUCUCCGAGUUGGAACGAGGUCUGCCCGGCUUCGGUCGCUCUCAGCUGGAUUCUCCCUUAAAUCCCCGGGAUUUCAACUGAAAGCUGUGGUCUGCCCACCUUCCUUCAGCCUGGGAACCCCCUCAGGGCGUCACAUUAUGGGACUAGGACUCGGCCCCGCGGCUGCAGGGAGCUGGCACUGGUCUGUGCUUCUCAGGCACCUCAGGUCCCCCACACUGUACGUGAUGCUACGUGACAGAAACGUUAGUUUUAUCCAGUAGAAGGCAACUGAAAGAAUAACUUUUAUGUUAAAACAAAUAUGGAUGUCUGAUGAAAUAAAAAGCAAAAGUGGCACACAUUUUUAAAUAUAUCACAAAGGACUUCAAAACACGUCAGUUUAGAAUGCCUGGCCUCGAGUUUCCAUUCUCUCCACCAUUUGAGAAGUAACUCAGCUUAUUGUUCAAGAGCAGACUCAACCCGACUGCAUAGUUGGAAUCCUGGUUUUGCUGAAUCCUGACUGUGGCCACGGGCAAAUUACUGAAGGUCCUGGGUCUCAGGCCCUUUCUCUGUAAAGUGAGGGUAAUUCCUGGACCUGCCUCACAGGCCCGUUGUAAGGAUUACGUGAGUUAACAUUUGCCAAGUGCUUGGAACUGUCCCUGGCACACAGGAAGUGCUGUAUGGUGUCAAAUACACUAAAGUAACUUAAGCUGGUACCACAGUAGCAAGUUUUGAGAACAUUUACUUGCUCUCACCACGGGGAGGACCGGCUCUGCGCAUGACCGGGCAGUCUGCUGAGCCCCCGUUUCUGUGGCCUCUGUGGUGCUUUCUUUCUUUCCCUCACCUGGGACUUCUCUGGGACUACAUUUGUCCUGCCACCCUCACUGAACACUUGAGCCCAUGUUUUGAUCACAAAUCCUUUGUUCUUUCAGUUGUCCCUUACGUUCCAAAGGGUGGAAAUGUGUCUCUGAG